UGAUCGAGAAAGUCACCCAACACUGACCUUGGACCUUCAUAUAUGCACACAGGUGCAGACAUGUGCUUACAACUCUCAUGUACUUGUGCACAUAUCCACAGGAGCACACACACAUGAAAGAGAGAGACACAGAGGAUACAAAUAUCUGUGGUCUUCAUCUCUCUUAUAUAAAAUGAUCUUUAUUUUUUCAUCCCACCUCCCUUUUUAGCUAUUUUUCUCAAGGACAAACUCACUCAGAGAGUCAUCUAAAUUCCUUCUCUGCCACCUCACCUAUGGCACCAUUGAAACUGACCUAAUGAAGUGUCAGUGACCUCCAUAUUGUCAAAGCUAGAAGACUUCCCUGCUCUUAUCUCUGCAGACCAUCCUUGUUCUUGCUAUUCCCUCCUCCCUUGACUCCUUGGGGUAGUUCAUGGGCUUUGUGAGAAUUUAUUUGUCUGAAUUUAGGAAUCUGUUAGCUAGAAUAAACCCUUUGGUCUUUAGAUGUUCUCACCUCUAAAAUCUGGUACAAUUUGAGACUAGGUAAUGGCAGGGCAGGAAGACAGUCAAGGGCUCAGGCUUUGGUGCCUUUAGGUUCAACAUCCAAGUUAGCUCCCUGGUCACUGAGCACACCGGUAUCAACUCUGUGUGUUCCAGCUACUUCACACACAAACUGUGGGGUUUGUAGGCAAAGCACUCUAAGCAGUGUCUAGCCCACAGCAAAUGUCACACGUGUGUGUGUGUGUGUGUGUGUGUGUGUGAUGCCCGCACCAGGGGACUUCUGUGGGUUCAGUGACUGACAGCCCACACAUUGCAUUUGGAAGUCAUCACAAGACAGUGCCAACUUCUGUUUAUUCCUGAUUGUUUUCUCUCAUCUAGGGCCAUUUGUUUUUCCUGAGCCAGAGCUUUGGCAGCCUCUUCUUUCAUGGAUGACAUUGUUCAAACCUUUGGCUCUAGUGGCUUCCUAAAGCUAAUGGUUACCAUUUAUCUAGGUACAGUGCAGACUUAUUGCCAGGCUCUCACUCUACCUGACUCCAUCCAGCCUCUCCACAUGGUUUCCCACUGGUGGCUCCAAGGAAUCUUCUUCCUCCUACUGAAUGUGCUCGUUCUCUGCAUCCAUCAUCUUAUCAUCCUAUGAGAAACGCUGUCAUUCCUGUGUGUGUCUCUGCAUCUCUCAAGAGGAAAAGACCAGCUCCAUCCUAUGCCUUUUUAUUCCAGGCACAUUGUGGCUUCAUAAAGACAUCCGAUUUAUUUUCACUGAAUGAAUGAAUAAAUAAAUGAUAAACAGUGCUGUGUCAUGGUUAUGCAUAACAUUCUAAAAACAGUGCCUGGCAUAAAUAAGUACUAUUGAGUGUUUGUUAAAUAAAUGAACAAAAUACACAGA